AGAUAGAAAAAAAAAAGAGAAGAGAAAAGAAAGGGAAGUGAAAACAGACGCAAAAGCAGGGGAAUUGGGGAAAACAUGGAGAACUAGGGUUUGUGUGCAAGAAAAGGAAAAGGAAAAAGAGAGAAACGGGACAAAGAGAUAAACGAGAAUUGGGGACGGGGGUUGAGAAGAAUAGAAAACAGAAGGGAAAGGGGGUUAGGAAUGAUUUAGUCGGCGAUUGCAAGCGAUUGGCGGAGGUAAUCAACACUGAUUCUUGCUGCUUCCUUAAUUGAUAUAUUUGUGCCGAUGUGUAUGUAUAUUUCUUCUCUGCUUGUUGUGGAAAACUAAGAUUGGGAUGUUGUGUGUGCGGGUUUGGAAAGAGGUAUGCAGGGGUGCGCUACUAUUGUUCUCGUAGGUAGUUGCUGCCGUGUGUAUAUUAACGGAAUGUGUGUAUAUUGUUCGGUACUUGAAUAACAAGAGUAUAUGAUAGGAUAUGAAAGCUUUUGAAUUGAGAAUAUAUGUAUGAUUGUGAUGAUUGUGUAUAUAUUUUGGAUUUUAAGAGUUAAUGUAGUGGAUUAAAGAUUUUAAACUAUACGAAAUCAAGCUGAAAUUUCAGAUUGUUGCUGGUCUGUUUUGUAGUGAAAUUAUGGACUCAUUGAGUAAAUUUAUGUGCUUAAUAUUUCUGGGAUAAUGUGCUCCUUAAAUCCUAGAUCAAGUACAAACAAGAAUUUCAAAGUUUCGUUAAACGAGCUAAAAGAUAUGGCCGUUUAAGUGGCAUGUGUGUUAGAUGAUAUUUGUAUUGUGGUAAUGACUCUGUUUGGAGCCAUUUUCUGGGCAGUUUAUAAUGUGUUUGAUGAGUAAAUUCUUGUGUGAUUACAUGCUAAUUGGAGUCUAGUUUAUUCGCCAAAUUGAAACAUAGCAUUUAGAUUAAUGAGCUAGGAGUUAUGAUUAUUUUGGUAAAGUAUGCGCAGAAUGCAAAACUGCUUCGGUUUUUGACUUUCUAAACUAUAGUUAACUUACUUAAACUUUGAUUUUUAAGCCAAAACUUAUUUUGUAGCUAUUCAGGGAGUUCAGGGAGGUCUCCUAAAAAUUUCCAUUAAAAAUCAUGUAUUUUUGAUUUAUUAAAAAUGUUUGAUUGCCAGCAGCACAGAUUUAUGAAAAUUCUGUUUUAAAGUCAAAAAGAGAAUUAUUUUUGCAAAUUCAAAGCUAUGAGUUGAGUUCUGAUUUAUUGGAAUGUAAAUGUGUACUAUGGUUAUUGGUCAAUAGUUGUUAAUUUACUUGAUUCAAAUAUGUAUAUAUUCCGAGGAUAGAGUGUUCAAACUGCUUGAUAAGUUCUUUGGUGCCUAUGUGUAAUGUUUGAAAUGUAUUAAUUCAAGAAUUUAGAAUAUUUAUGGAUAAGUUUUGUGCAUAGUUAAGUAUUUUGAAACUAAUUUAUGAUAUAAGUUUUAUGCUGACCUUGUGUAAUAAAAUGAGAUUUUUACAUAAGGAAUUAUUUUACUAAACUUUGAUAUUGAGGAAACAUGUGUAUAGAUUAUAGUUGAACCACAUAAUAUGUUGGUGGCAGCUGAUUUUGUAAAAAGGUAACCUUGGGCAUACUAUGGUUUUGAUUUAAAUCUUAAUAUUGAUAUCGGUUCAUGAUGUGGGGAUUGAGCAACAAAAGCUUUAAGGUAAAAUGAUGGGCAUUGUCAUUUUUUUUUUGGAAAGUUAAUAUAUGAAUUAUUGAGUUAUAUUUGUGUUCAGAGUAUCAUUAGUUUGUAGUUGUUGGGUUAGAAACUUGUUGGGUUGAUUAUUGAUACUAGAUUAAAACAGGUGGAUAGUCUGGUAAAUAGAGGAGAUGCUGCCGAAAUUUUUUUAGCAAAUUAAGGAUGUACUAGUAAUGUGUUAGUGGUUUGUAUAUAAUCAGAUAAGAGAUUAUAUACGAGAAGAAUUCGAUAGUCAUAUAUGUAUAAGUAGCAAUGCAUAUGAAUUAUUUGAUACGUGAUGAUAUGACUACCUGUUUAAUUGUGCGACAAUAUGUGUAUAUACAGUAUGUGUCUAUAUCGCGAUGGGUAGAAAUAGAGUUCGAUUCUAUGAUUUAGGUGACGAUCUGGAUUGUUCUUCAACUGAAGUGUUAUUAUAUUAUCUUGUAGAACCGAGCUAGACGUGCGUAUCGAGGACGUUAAUAAGUAGUUGAAUUGCAAACCAAGUCGAAUCAGGAAUGAUCUGAUAAUACGAAGCUAUGUCGUGGGCGGAAUCUUGUCAAAAGCAAAGUGAGAAUAAACGGUAUAGUAAAUGCUCUACUAGGUGACAGGAAAAUAGGUUCUUUGAACAAGAAGGAAAGCGAAUAAGGCAAGUAACUUUCCUUUUUCUUUUAAGCAACUUAUUGAUAAAUGAUGAUAAGUACUGUCACCCUUGAACUACUUUUUGAAUUAUGAAAGCCUGAUUUCCUUUCUCAUUGAAUAUAUUGUCUUACUUUUGAAUGCGAGCUCUUUCAUGAAGAUUAUGCUUCUCUAUCCAGUAUACUCUUAUCCCGAAUAUCUAUCUUUUGACUGAAUAAUAUUUCCUUUCCAUAUACUGGACCCCCACAAGUAAAUGGAACUUGUUUCUGUAAAUGAAACUAAGAAUGGUUUUAGACUUGCAAGUGAUUGCAAGUGUCCAAAUGAUUUGAAAGGUUGGUAAGUUUUUAAAAUGAAAGAUAUUUUUAAAGAAGAAAGUUUUCCAAUUUAAUGGUUUUCCACGAAAUUCUAUUGAUUGGAGGCGUAAGUGGCCGAGUAACGCCGGUCCAGCUAUUUGAUUAUGAAGACCAGUGAGGGCUGGCACAUUAUGAAGACCAGUGAGGGCUGGCAUUUGAAAGGCCAAAUGAUAGUUGCCUUUCGGGUACCCUAUUCACGUCCAGAGGGGCUGUAAAGUCCGGUAUGGGGAUUGUACGUGGCUGAUCACCCGUGCAAUCCAGAGCGUUAUACACUCCAAUCGAGUAAAAUGUUUUAGGAAAAUAAAUGUCCAUGUAAUUGGACUAUUUUGAAAAUGAGGUGAUUUUCGAGAUUGAAAAUGAAGCUUAAAUGAAUGAAGCGUUUUGAAAGAAAAUAUUAGGAAAAUGGAAAUUUUAUGAAAAUUACGAGGAAUGAAUGGUUUUUAUGAACAUAUGGUUUAUAAAUUGGUUUCUUUGGAAUGAUCCUUAAUUUUGGAAUCUUUGUUGAAAAUUUUGUAUCUUUGCUUACAAUCGGAAACCUCCUAUUUUAUUCAGUUGAACCGUUGUCUUAUUUAUUUACUCUAGUUACUUGCUGAGCUUUUGUAGCUCAUUCUGUUGUUUAUCUAACCCUUUCAGCUAGAUACAAAGAUGGUUCGCCUGUUUGGGUUGCGCUUAAGAAUAACGCUAGACAAGGAUUUCAAGUGAGUAUGUCAGACCUCGAUGGUCAGGAUAAGUAUUUUGGAAGAUGUCAAGGGAACUAGUUGUGAUUAAGAUGGUAUAAUUUUGAUUCAGAUGUAAAGCAGAUUUAAGUUUUGGUUAUCAGUUAUCCUUCUUGUCGAAGUUUAUCUGGUAAUGUAGAAUAUGUUGUAAUAAGAUUUAUAUUUUCGAUUUUCUGAUUUCAAUACUAUAGCCUGUAUGCGAUCCUGUUUUCAGGGGGUGAAAUUGAAUUUUACUUUAAAUCAUUUUCAAAAUAUCCAAGUUUCGAAAUAAUUGUUUUUAGCUUCUUUCAAAAAUACAGGUUUUAAAUUGUUUUUCUUUUAGUGGCACCAAAUCCAGACCCCCGGGAUUUGAGGGAUGCCACA
rnacentral:lncRNA from 1 species